rnacentral:rRNA from 1 species
GACGAACGCUGGCGGCGUGCUUAACACAUGCAAGUCGAACGGAAAGGCCCUGCUUUUGUGGGGUGCUCGAGUGGCGAACCGGUGAGUAACACGUGAGUAACCUGCCCUUGACUUUGGGAUAACUUCAGGAAACUGGGGCUAAUACCGGAUAGGAGCUCCUGCUGCAUGGUGGGGGUUGGAAAGUUUCGGCGGUUGGGGAUGGACUCGCGGCUUAUCAGCUUGUUGGUGGGGUAGUGGCUUACCAAGGCUUUGACGGGUAGCCGGCCUGAGAGGGUGACCGGCCACAUUGGGACUGAGAUACGGCCCAGACUCCUACGGGAGGCAGCAGUGGGGAAUAUUGCACAAUGGGCGGAAGCCUGAUGCAGCAACGCCGCGUGCGGGAUGAAGGCCUUCGGGUUGUAAACCGCUUUCGCCUGUGACGAAGCGUGAGUGACGGUAAUGGGUAAAGAAGCACCGGCUAACUACGUG